rnacentral:rRNA from 1 species
GAUGAACGCUGGCGGCGUGCUUAACACAUGCAAGUCGAACGAUGAAGCCCAGCUUGCUGGGUGGAUUAGUGGCGAACGGGUGAGUAACACGUGAGUAACCUGCCCUUGACUCUGGGAUAAGCCUGGGAAACUGGGUCUAAUACCGGAUAGGAGCGUCCACCGCAUGGUGGGUGUUGGAAAGAUUUAUCGGUUUUGGAUGGACUCGCGGCCUAUCAGCUUGUUGGUGAGGUAAUGGCUCACCAAGGCGACGACGGGUAGCCGGCCUGAGAGGGUGACCGGCCACACUGGGACUGAGACACGGCCCAGACUCCUACGGGAGGCAGCAGUGGGGAAUAUUGCACAAUGGGCGCAAGCCUGAUGCAGCGACGCCGCGUGAGGGAUGACGGCCUUCGGGUUGUAAACCUCUUUCAGUAGGGAAGAAGCGAAAGUGACGGUACCUGCAGAAGAAGCACCGGCUAACUACGUG